rnacentral:rRNA from 1 species
GGCUUAGAGUUUGAUCAUGGCUCAGGACGAACGCUGGCGGCGUGCCUAAUACAUGCAAGUCGAGCGAGCUUGCCUAGAUGAUUUUAGUGCUUGCACUAAAUGAAACUAGAUACAAGCGAGCGGCGGACGGGUGAGUAACACGUGGGUAACCUGCCCAAGAGACUGGGAUAACACCUGGAAACAGAUGCUAAUACCGGAUAACAACACUAGACGCAUGUCUAGAGUUUGAAAGAUGGUUCUGCUAUCACUCUUGGAUGGACCUGCGGUGCAUUAGCUAGUUGGUAAGGUAACGGCUUACCAAGGCAAUGAUGCAUAGCCGAGUUGAGAGACUGAUCGGCCACAUUGGGACUGAGACACGGCCCAAACUCCUACGGGAGGCAGCAGUAGGGAAUCUUCCACAAUGGACGAAAGUCUGAUGGAGCAACGCCGCGUGAGUGAAGAAGGGUUUCGGCUCGUAAAGCUCCGUUGGUAGUGAAGAAAGAUAGAGGUAGUAGCUGGCCUUUAUUUGACGGUAAUUACUUAGAAAGUCACGGCUAACUACGUGCCAGCAGCCGCGGUAAUACGUAGGUGGCAAGCGUUGUCCGGAUUUAUUGGGCGUAAAGCGAGUGCAGGCUGUUCAAUAAGUCUGAUGUGAAAGCCUUCGGCUCAACCGGAGAAUUGCAUCAGAAACUGUUGAACUUGAGUGCAGAAGAGGAGGGUGGAACUCCAUGUGUAGCGGUGGAAUGCGUAGAUAUAUGGAAGAACACCAGUGGCGAAGGCGGCUCUCUGGUCUGUAACUGACGCUGAGGCUCGAAAGCAUGGGUAGCGAACAGGAUUAGAUACCCUGGUAGUCCAUGCCGUAAACGAUGAGUGCUAAGUGUUGGGAGGUUUC